GCAUUUAAGCAAAAUUUCAUUCCAGCCUCUGGUCUCUUUUUCUUUUCUUAGUUUCAAAGCCUUUCCCCCUUUUCUUUCAAGCACCCAACCCUUAAGUUUUUUUAGCCUCCGGCGCACCACCCUCGCGGCCACAAAGACCGAUGGCCGGCGAUGGAGAAAAGGUCUCUAACCUCGGCUUUGGAACACCCUUGAAGGCUAAACCAUCAAUCCCGAAAAAGAAAAAAAAAGAACCUCGGCGCCCUUUGGAUCUGGCGGCCGCGACGAAGAAGAACCCUUCGCGGGCACGAUUACGGCGCUUCCCCGGUAAGUCCCCUCUCCCCCUUUUUUUAAUUUUUUACGUUUUCUUUGUAAAAUAUUUCGUAAAAAGGUGAGUAGAUAAAUAAAUGAAAUAAAUACGUAAAUAAAUAACAAUAAUAAGCGAAAAUCGGAAGAAAAACAAUCAGAUUUUUAUCAACCUUUUAGAAUCUUAGUUCUAUUUUCCUUGAUUCACUGAUGAGUGUUCGUAAAAAAAAAUACAACGAUAAGAUAUUGGCUUUUAUAGCCCUAUUACAACUGUUCAUUUUCAUUUUUUGUUUUUUUGCUCUUUAUUUCUUCGUAUUCUCCUGUUGCUUGCAUUUAUUCUUCUCUGCAGGUGUCAGACAAGGCCGACAGCGGUGGUCAGAAGGCAUGCGCGAUGAGGCAUUGGGCAAAGGCGGCGGCUAGCUUGAGGAUAUGGUUUGCUAUGCCUUUCUGCUAAAAAUGUUAAUGAUGUAGGCUAGGUUUUUAAUUUUUGGGCCUGAUUUGUUUAAUUUUGGGUUUGGUUUUGUUUGCCUGAGCCCGGGCAAAAAUGGGCUCUCACACUUUUAUUCACAGAUUCAAAAUGCUGAUGAUAUUCAACAAAGAAAAAGGAAUCAACAACAUUACUAAUGACUUGUAGAUGUAAAUCUUGAAAGAACAAAGAAAAAAACGAAAGAAAACUUUUGAGCAAACACAGCAAAGAACACAAUGUUGCUUAGAUUAGAUUUAGAAAAAUACCCAGAAAGAAGCUUUGAAGCAAAAAGGAGAGAGAGAAUCGUACAAUGGAUGUAGUUUGGUUUGCACUUUGCAGCCAGCGAUAGAGAAAAGGGAAAUGGGGGGCUAGGGAUUUGUGGAAGAGGGAAAUGGGGGAAAUGGCUUGGGACUGGAGUGGGGGGGGGGGGGGACGGGAUUCACAUUCACGGGAAAAAAAGAAAUGUGCUUAAAAAAAUAAAAAAAUAUAUAUUAUUCGGGCUGGGCCCGGGCUUAAAAAUUUUUGCCCGAGGCCCGGCCCAUUUUUUAAACGGGCCUCAUUUUUUGCCCAAGCCCAUAUUUUGGGCCUAUAUUUUUACCCAAACUCUCUCAUAUUUCAGGUGGGUAGUCGGGCCGGGUCGCACACCUCUACUUUGAAAAUCGUGUUUUGAUUUGGGUACAUGAAUUUCUCUCUUUUCUUUUCCGUUUCUAGGAGCGGGACAUGCUUUUUUGUUUCAUUUAAGGAUAGUGAUUUUGGAUAAGGUUGGGAAUUCAUAUUUCGAAUUUAUUCUUUAUCGUGGAUUUUAGAGUGAAUUAAUAAAUUUAGAUAUCUAAAUCUGAUUAUAAAAUAUUUAAUUUUUUUUCUAACAAGAUUUAGAUUUAUUUAUAGGUCAUAAAAUUUUAAGUUGGUUUGAUAGGUCCGAUUCCGAUUUCGCUCGAAAGAUGGGUUAAAAUUUUGACCAAAUCUAGUCCGGAUAAAAAUGUUAUAACAUGGGCCUGGCUCAGCCCGUCCGUAUUAAAUUUUUUAUAUUAUUUUUAUAUAAUUUUUUAAAAUAUAUAACACAUUAAAAACACUAAAACCAUCCAAAUAAAUGCUUCCCAGCAAAUUAAAAAUAAAUUUUAAAAAAAUCUUUAUACUUGAAUAGCACUAAGAUACAUGCAACUUAACAUACAAAUGCUCUAAAAUAAUAGCAAAAUUAACAAUAAAAUAAUAAUUAUACAAUAUCCAAAUAAUAACAACAUAAUAUUAAAAUGACAGCAAAACGGGAAAAAAACAAUAUUUUUUUCUUUUAGCAAAUUCGGGCCGAGCCCGGGCCAGAAAAGCUUUACCCGAGGCCUAGCCCGUUUUCUAAAUGAGCAUUAUUUUUUGCCCAAACCCAUUUUUUAUUCCUAUAUUUUUCCCAAACUCUCUUACUUUUCUAACAGGCCCUUGGGUCGAACUAGGUGCCCGACUCAUGAAUAUUUCUAACAAAAUUUGACCCAAAGCCAUUUAUAUAUGAAAAGAAGCAUUAAUAUUUCUGUUAAACUUUAAUUAUAAUUUACACAAGAUAAUAAAUAUCUAACCCACAGACAUUCUAAUCUUCGUGUUUUCUAUCUCAUCCCUAUAUUUCCUUUAGUUUUUAAAGUAUCAAUCAACCAACUAUUCAUAUUCCCAAUCUGAUCCCUCAAACCAAACCCCUCUCACCCAAUCCCACUCAAACUCAUUGCACAUAACACAAACAAGACUAUACCCAAUCUAGAAGGAAUAGCUGCAUUACAGCAUGCAUUUCCACAAGACAAAAAUUAUACUUGGCAAACUCAGAUUAUUCCAUAUGAUCUGCUAGCUAGACCUUGUCAUCCACUAUUUCUGAGAUGAAGAAGCUUUAUUUGAAGUUCUUUCCUUUUUAUCAUUCCUCAACAACAAAUAUCCCCUUAAUGCAUUAUGAAUCACACAGUCUUCUCUUUCAACAUCAUAGGGUAGAAUUCUUUGAAUUACAUUCAGGAACUCAUAAUCCAAUGACUACUCUACAAUGGACAAAUCCCAAAUUUCUUCUUCUGUUUUCUUGAUUUUAGGUUGUUGGUAAUAUCUGAGAAUUAUCAGUUAUUCUUGGAUUCUUAAUUUCUGGUAUCCAUCUAUCCCACCAAAUACUAAUCUUCUACCAUAUCACUUGGCACAAAUUGUCAUCAUUUGGUUAAUGGUUGAAUUAAUUAUUUAAAAAAUCUAUUUUGUAAAAGCUUUCUACAUUUUGAUUAAUUCGAUUUAUUUAUUGAUCUAAUUAAUCGUUUGAACACCUUAACUCUAAUUCGAUCUCCAUUUUCUUGAUGGUGCCUUUUAGACAAACUUCUUAUGGGUUAUUUCGAGAAUCAUACAUGAUUAGAAAUUUUAGUUGACCUUUGACUAUCAUGCGUAACAACUAGUCAACUAUUAUGCGUAACAAUUUCGUACUACCUCAACAAAAAAAAUACCAGAGCAGUACCACACUUGACUGCAACCCAUGUAAAACGGCCUUGCCAACUAGUCGACCAUUCGAUCACCAUAUCUCAAAAUUAUCGGCGACGUGACACUGUUGGACAUGAAACCUUCUCCUAUAAGUACCUAAAGGAAUGAUGAAGAAGGAAUCAUUUUCCCUAUCAACAUUAAAUAAAAUCCUCACACUCUACCUAUCUUAUCUUCACAAUCCCCUUUACCUUACUCCCUUCUUCAGUUCUAUGUUUGUUUAAGUAAACCGACCUCCUUGGUACCAUCAUCUUUUCCUCUUGUCUCCUCCUUGUUUAGGUAAAACUUGUACCAAUAAAUAUAAUAAAUAUAAUUUAAUAUGAAUCCAAAGUCUAAUUAAAAGAUAAUAAUUGUAACACCAAUAAAAAAUAUAUAAUUAAUAAAAAUAAUUGUUUUAUAUUUCAAUUAAUAACUUGUUAUCGAAAACAAACAUAAAACCUAUAAUUAAUUUUAUAUUCAAUGGCUACAAUAAAAACAUUACCAAUAAAAUAAUUAUAAUUAUAAUUAUAAUUGUAAUUGUAAUUAUUAAUUGAUUCUAGAAAUUUAAAAAAAAAAUGAGGAACAUAAUUAAAAAUAGGUCUGUUCAUGAAUCGGGUUACCCAUCCAAGCCCGAAGGCUUGUCCAAAAUUUAGGAGGGUUUGGGCAAAAAUAUUAGGCUCAAAAAAUAGGCUCGGGCAAAAAAAAAUAGUUCCGUUUAAAAUAUGGGCCGAGCGCAGUCUUGAACAUUCAAAGCCCAAGCCUGACCCAUUUUUAAAUUUAUAAUACGUUAUAUUAUGUUAUUUUUAUAAAUUAUAUAAUUUAGAACACUUUAAAAAAAAUAAGCCUAUACUAAAUAUAUAAUCCUAAUCUAAUGUAAACAUUAAAAUAAUCAUAAGAUGACUAUAUAAAAAUUUUCAAUAAAUAAAAAAUGUCUAAAAUUAUUAAAUAUUAAAAUAAAAUGAUAUAUAUAUUUUUUUUAAAAUUUAAAAAAUAAUAUGAGCGGACCUAAAAUGAGCUUGGGUUAGUCUUAUACAAAUAUAGAUGAGUUUGGGCAAAAUUUUAGGCUAAUAUUUUAGGUCGGGUCAAGCUUGAACAAAUAUAAAGUAUGUUAAUAUAGUGCUUAGGCCUCAUGAGCACCUCCAGCUAAAAAUAAUAAGUUAUAAUUGAACAAUUUUCUUUAUCUUAAUUUUUUAAAUAGAUUAAGGUGAGAGAGAAUACAAUAUUUUCCAUAUGUAUUAAAAUUAGGGUUAAAUAUAAAAUUAGUACCCGAAUUUGUCCACUUCUCUUAAAUUGGUACUUAAAGUUUUCUUUGUCCCAAAUUAGUACCCAAAUUUUUUUUCUGUCAAUUAGUUUAGUAUCUGAGCCUAACGGCAUUAAAUUUUUGCUAACGUGAUAACACUGGCCACCCGCACCCUGCUAUGUGUCACUUUAUUUGGCUUGAAAAGCUGUAUUAUUUUCCAUUUCAUUUUAUAUUUUUAAAAACCCUUUCAUUUAUUUUUUGUUUUAUUUUUUUUUCCUUUGAAAUUUCCUUUCUCCAUCAUCUUCUACCUCUUUCGCUGCUGCAACUUUUUUUUUCGUUUUUUCCUUUCACUUUCUCUACUUGACCUUCUCGUCUUCUACCUCUCUUCUAUCAAUUUCAUUUUUUUUUCUUUUUUUUCCUUUCACUAGUUGUUUCGUUUUCUAUCUCUUUGUGUCAUCUAUUCAUAAAACAUGUAUUAAAGGAAGAAAACAAUCGAAAAUGUCUUCUUCAACAAAACUCAGAACAUUAACUUCACAAACCCAUCAGAACACCCAUCAAUCCAUUAAAAAAUUCAUAAAAUUAACUUCACAAACAAAACUCACCAAUUCUAAAAAAUCAAAUUGAAUUCAAGAAAAAUUGAACUUAUAUAUAUUUUUGUCAAUCUUAAUUUAACUUUGGUGUAAGAAAGGGAUUGGAUUCUGCAAUUUGCAGUGACUUUAUCUACCCAAAGUAGCAAAAAAAAAAAAAAAAGAUGUGAUGGUAAGGCUAACAGGGAAGCAGCAACAAACACCAUGAACGACAAGAUUUCUAUUGAUAAGCAUUGUUAUCGGCCUUUUAUUGAUUGGUUUUAUUGUCGAUAUUUUCUGGGCUUCAUCUUCUCGUUUCAAGCUUUUAUCUCUUUCAAUUUCGAAUAAUUGGUCCCCUCAUUCAUCUAAUUUUCCUGCUACAUUUUCGUUCCAGUUCAAUGAGCCUCUUAAUUCGUUAGCAAACCAAAAACCCAAGGUGAAAAAACACUCUUUUUGUUGUUUCAGUGGUGGAAAAAAACCCAAGAUGGUGCCUACUACUAUUCCUCGUUUAGAUGUUGUUGCUAUUUAGAUUAAGAAUCCUCAACUUAACAGUCGAAUUCCAUGAUGAUUCAAAAGUUGACCAGUGCCAUUAUUUGGACCGGAGAACAAACGCCGGUGACAACGCUGGAGUGAAGCUGUGGUGCAUGCUAGUGGCGGCUAGGGUUGGGAAGGGUUGGGAAAGAGAAAAGGAGAAUAACAGAACAGAAAAAAAAAUGAAAAUGGGAAAGGAUAAAAGUAGAGGAAAAAGGGAAAAAAAAACGAGAAAGUGAAAUAGAAAAUGGACUAUGACAUCAUCAUGAUGUCAUUAUGCCACUUGUCACAUGUCUUGAUUUAACCGUGUUAAAAAAAUACCAAAUUAGUUGACGGAAAAAACGUACUGAGACAAAAAAAAAACUUUAAGUAUUAAUCUGAAAAAAGUAGAUAAAUUCGAGUACCAAUUUUAUACUUAACUCUUAAAAUUAUUAUGAAUGACACCAAGUAACUGAAAAAAAAUAUCCUUCAACUAUCUUGUAUUGGGGGUUUUUCUUACUUUACAAUUGAAACUCAAAGAAAAGUGGCUUUUUUACACCAACAUUAUAAAAAUAUAUAUUAAAUUUGAAAAUGAGUUAGAUGUUUGAUUAUAUACGAAAAUGGUAUAGAUGGGGUGGUGGAAUGUGGUGGAUAGGCGCCGGCACCACCCUAAAACUACUUGUUUCAAUUUUUUUCAUUUGAAAUAUAUAUAUUUUAAUAGAUUGUGCCAUGUUGAUAGGUGGCACCAAACAAAAAUACACCCCGUACAACCCCUUUUUAACCCGUUUUAACCCUGUACCACACAGCUUGAGGAGUGCCUAGUGAAGCCUACUUGGUAGGCGGCACCGAUAGUGGUUGUGCCUGCAUGACAGGCAGCACCGGUCUGGCAUG
rnacentral:lncRNA from 1 species